GUUGAGGUUGGGGUGGGGGCUAGGCUGUCCUCUUUGUCUGCUCUGAUCGCCAGCGGCUGAAGUGACUUCGGCCUCGGGUGCCCGGCGGGGAGGGAGGUUUCUGCCCCUCCCCUCCUCUGGCCCACCUCACACUCUGACCCUGAACCCCAUUCCUGUGGCCGCAGCCGGGCCUGGGGAGGGGGACGAGGAACUGCAACACCCCCUCCCCCAUUCAUCCCCCUUCUCCUCGUCACCCCCCUCCCCCAACGACCUUUUCCCUUUCCCUCAUUCAUCCUUCCCCUCCCCAGUUCAUCCUUCCUUUCUCUUCCCUAAUCCCCCCUCCCCCACUCUCCUCCCUCUCCCCAGUUCUUCCUCCCCCAGCCAAUUUUGCCCUCCCCCAUCUCUUCCUCCCUCCCCCUCCCCACCUCUCUGUCGCUCCCACCCCUCCAGUCUUCUCACCCACCCACUCAAGCUUCCUCCUCCAAGCACAUAUGGAAGCCGUGGUGUUUGUGUCUGAGUAGCCACUCGUCUGUCUUUACCUUACAGGUGUUUGCUGUGGAAGAGUGAUUCUGAGGAAGAGGGCUGGGUUCAAGGAGCUGCCCAGGCGCCUUCUGAUUGUGAGCGAGGGGCUCAGGCUGGAACAGUCGGUGCGUGUGUAAUUUUUGGCACAGGCGUGGUCUGUGUUAGGUGAAGUCUUUCUGGUUAAACAUGUGCACGUGUCUUUGUGUAUGAUGGCAUAGUUCCUGGAACUCUGUGGAUCUCCCAGGAGGUCAUUGCCAUCUACCUGGCACCCAUCUGGGGGGCCCUUUGGAUCAUGCAGGGUUUCAGCAGGGUUCAGGAGUAGAUCUGGACCGAGGCUGCUGGAUCCUUCCAGCUGACAUCUGAUCUGAAGAGCCGAGGCCCUGCCGAGGAACCACGGUGGCUAGCUAGAUAGACUGCCCAGCCCUGGGUUGGGUUAUGGCCAACCCUCUGACCCUGCAGGUCCCAGCUCCCCCAGAACAAGUUGGGUUCUUGAGCCCAAAGGUGGAGGAAAAUGACCCUGGGCCUCAGGGAUUCCUCCAAGGAGGGGACCCAGCUGCCCCUGGGACCUCUUACCAGGGCUUCAAGACAAACCCCAGAGAUCCACAUGAAGGAGCAGAGAAUGGAUCAGAGCAGUCUUCGACCGUCUUAUCUGGGAUGAUGGGGACCUGCCGGAGGCCACAGCGUCCAGAGCAUAAGGAUUGGACCCACAUUCUUGAGAAGAAAGCUGUGCUGUCUCAGGAUUCACCCUUUCCUACAGAGGGGAACACCGAGGAAGAGAGAAUGGCUGCUGGGCGGCCAACAGCUGGCUCUCAGGUGAGGUGGGUUUUUUCUCCACUGUCUGAAAUGCCAGCAGGGGCACACACAUCUUUUUCUUGUGCCCAAGCUUCUUUGCCCAGACAGUCUUCACUCAUGCAGAGACCUGAGCCCUCAUCCCUCAUCCCUCAUCCUUAGGACACAGGGCCUUCUCAUUUAAUGUUUUUUUC
rnacentral:lncRNA from 1 species